rnacentral:rRNA from 1 species
CAUGGCUGCAGCUACACAUGCAGUCGAGCGCACCUUCGGGUGAGCGGCGGACGGGUUAGUAACGCGUGGGAACAUACCCUUUGGUACGGAAUAGCCUCUGGAAACGGAGAGUAAUACCGUAUGAGCCCUUCGGGGGAAAGAUUUAUCGCCAAAGGAUUGGCCCGCGUUAGAUUAGGUAGUUGGUGGGGUAAUGGCCUACCAAGCCUACGAUCUAUAGCUGGUUUUAGAGGAUGAUCAGCAACACUGGGACUGAGACACGGCCCAGACUCCUACGGGAGGCAGCAGUGGGGAAUCUUGGACAAUGGGGGCAACCCUGAUCCAGCCAUGCCGCGUGAGUGAUGAAGGCCUUAGGGUCGUAAAGCUCUUUCGCCUGUGAAGAUAAUGACGGUAGCAGGUAAAGAAACCCCGGCUAACUCCGUGCCAGCAGCCGCGGUAAUACGGAGGGGGUUAGCGUUGUUCGGAAUUACUGGGCGUAAAGCGCACGUAGGCGGACUGGAAAGUUGGGGGUGAAAUCCCAGGGCUCAACCCUGGAACUGCCUCCAAAACUAUCAGUCUAGAGUUCGAGAGAGGUGAGUGGAAUUCCGAGUGUAGAGGUGAAAUUCGUAGAUAUUCGGAGGAACACCAGUGGCGAAGGCGGCUCACUGGCUCGAUACUGACGCUGAGGUGCGAAAGUGUGGGGAGCAAACAGGAUUAGAUACCCUGGUAGUCCACACCGUAAACGAUGAAUGCCAGUCGUCGGGUAGCAUGCUAUUCGGUGACACACCUAACGGAUUAAGCAUUCCGCCUGGGGAGUACGGUCGCAAGAUUAAAACUCAAAGGAAUUGACGGGGCCCGCACAAGCGUGAGCAUGUGGUUUAAUUCGAAGCAACGCGCAGAACCUUACCAACCCUUGACAUCCUAGGACCGGCCCAGAAGAUGGGUCUUUCACUUCG